rnacentral:lncRNA from 1 species
CUGACUGUCUCAAAGUCUUCAGAGGAAGUAUUCUGUGGCCACCCCAGAAGGACACCCCAGAAGGACUACCUCAUCCAGUGAAGACAACAGAAAUGCCUCCCUGAGAGCUCUGCUUGGUCUGUGUACUGCUCAAUUUCCCCACCCAACCUGGAGUGGGACUACAUCAAACUUAAAAGCUUCUGCACAGCAAAUAAGACAAUCAACAGAGUGAAAAGACAACCUAUACAAUGGGAAAAGAUAUUUUGCAAACUGUGUGUCUGACAAGAAGAUAAUUUCCAAAAUACAUAAGAAACUCUUACAACUUAACAGCAAAAGAAAGAAAGAAAGAAAUAGAAAAGGAAGAAAGAAGAAAAGAAAGAGAGAAAGAAAUUUAAAAAUGAAUGAGCCAAGGGCUUGAACAGACAUUUCUUCAAAGGACACAUACAAAUAACCAAUAAGUGCAUGAAGAGGUGUUUCACGCUACUAAUCAUUAGAGAAACACAAACCAAAACCACAAUGAGGUAUCAUCUCAUACUUGUUUUAAGAUGGCUAUUAAUAAAAACAUGUGAAAUAAGUAUUGGUGAGGAUGUGGAGAAAUUGGAACUCUUGUACAUUAUGGGAACACAAAAUGGUGCGAUAGCUACGGAACACAGAAAAAAAGUUCCUCAAAAGAUUAACUGCUAUGUGAUCUAGCAAUUCCACUUCUGGUCAUAUAUCCAAAAGAAUUGAAUUCAGAAUUUCAAAGAGAGAUCCAUACUCAUUGCAUUAUUAUUUACAAUAGCUAAGAUGUAGAAAAAAUUGAAGCAUCCAUUG